CAUUCUUGUAUUUUACACUCUCUGAUGUUUUCUUUUCUUCAUGUCUAGUGUGUGAAUCAUUUCUGGUUUGUCUCUUCAGUGUCUCAUGUGGCCCUGCAGCUUCUCCUCCUCCACCUCCUCCUGAAGCCUUCAUCUUCUUCAUCAUCAGCUGCUCAGUGACUCUGUUGGACGUCUCACCGUGUGGCAGCAGCUCAGGAGUUUGCAGUCAACCAAGGCCGACUCAGAAUCACUCCCACCGGGAAGAUCUGUGAAGGAAGGUCCACCCGGCUGGUCCAGAAGCUCCGGUCCAGCAGAGCAGCGUCAGGAUGGAGACGUAACCGGAUCCCUCCUUGAAGCCCAGUCCAGUCCAAUCCAGUCCAGUGACACUCCACACCACAGACCACAACCUUUCCACAAGGUUCCCAGCGGGGAUUCGAACCGUGACCAUCCACAUGACAGACACACACCCUCUGUGUGAGCUAUCUGUCACACAAGGUCCCUGGUGGAGUUUGUUGUAAUGAUGGUUGCAAGAGGUUGUCAUGCAGCCAAAGUGUAAAAAGAGCCUUGAGCUGGAUUCCAACCAAGGACCUCCUGGAUGAGAGGCAGAUAACUUACCACUGCACUAUCCUUCCUACUGGGUGUAGCUGUUAGUUUUCGUAAAUGAUGGUACACAAAAGUAUUAAGGAAGUGAAGAUAAUAAAGGUACUAAGGUACCGGGGAGGCAAAAAACUUACCUCUACACCACCUGUCCUACAAGAUGUUGCUCUAACUUUGCUUAAAUGAUGCUAUCAAUUAGUACUGGCGCAACCAAACGACAAAUAAAAGGUGUGAGUGGAGAUCUGAA